UACAGAGGUGGCAAGCGUUGUUCGGAAUUACUGGGCGUAAAGGGCGCGUAGGCGGUCUUGCAAGUCCCGUGUGAAAUCCCUCGGCUCAACUGAGGAAUUGCACGGGAAACUGCUUGGCUUGAGAUCGGGAGAGGGAAGCGGAAUUCCGGGGUGUAGCGGUGAAAUGCGUAGAUAUCCGGAGGAACACCGGUGGCGAAGGCGGCUUCCUGGACCGACACUGACGCUGAGGCGCGAAAGCCAGGGGAGCAAACGGG
rnacentral:rRNA from 1 species